AGGCGCCCAUCGGUAUCAACAACCUCACCGAGGUCCCCCAGCUCAUCAUCGGAGUAACUCCCUUUCCCCCGACAUGGCCUAUUUGCAGACCGAAAACGAAAACGGAUUCAACUGUAAGUUUUUCGGCCAGAAAACUUUUGCGAAAUCCAAAAACGUUUUUAAGGCAAUUGGAAACAUUUUUUGCUGCUAAGCUGCUGCUGCCCCCACACUGACAUCCCCACUUGACUUUGGCCAAGACCUGGAGGUGGAUUGGAUUGGCUUGGCAUGGCUUUGAUACUUUAUUUAUUUGAGGCUUUAUUUCAGUGUGUGGUUUUGUGGACUCAUUUGAAAUAAUUACACGGCCCGGCUCAAGACCCAAAACCACCGAACAAUUGAUUUCCCACACGCGGAGACACACAAUUUGCAAAAAUCACAAAGACCAGAAAUGGGAAAUUCCUUAGUUAUUGUUGGGCUCCACAUAAAUAUGUAUCUUAGUUAACAGCUGAAAAUCGCGUGGGCUGGAGUUUCAAGAUUCAGCGAAAGAGUGGCUAAAAUGGCAAUGGGGCUUGUUAGCCUUGUUAGCUCCUGCUUAGGCGUUGGCUGGUACAGUUACGGACCUUGUGGGCUGGCGAAUCCGUUCUCAGAACUCUCAUCGGUACCGACUUUAAUUGGCAGAAAUUAACUCAAAGUAUAGCAUUUCAGAAGUAUUAUAACAGCUUCCCACAAACGAAAAAUGCCUAAGAAUAAGCCGGUAACUGCCUUCGUAGAAGUUAUUAGUCAAAAUGGUUAUUAUUUGUAAUUAAAAUGGCUCUUGAUCUAGUUCAGACCUCUGAAAGAUGAACUCUUCUUUAAAUAAUAAACUAAAACCAUAAAAAUUAAACCUAA